rnacentral:rRNA from 1 species
GACGAACGCUGGCGGCGUGCUUAACACAUGCAAGUCGAACGGACAGACAGAGAGCUUGCUCUCUUGAAGUUAGUGGCGAACGGGUGAGUAACGCGUAAUCAACCUGCCCUUCAGAGGGGGAUAACAACGGGAAACCGUUGCUAAUACCGCGUACGAUUCAUGAACGGCAUCGUUUAUGAAUGAAAGGUGGCCUCUAUGUAUAAGCUAUCGCUGAAGGAGGGGAUUGCGUCUGAUUAGCUAGUUGGAGGGGUAACGGCCCACCAAGGCAAUGAUACGUAGCCGGUCUGGGAGGAUGAACGGCCACAUUGGGACUGAGACACGGCCCAAACUCCUACGGGAGGCAGCAGUGGGGAAUCUUCCGCAAUGGACGAAAGUCUGACGGAGCAACGCCGCGUGAGUGAUGAAGGUCUUCGGAUUGUAAAGCUCUGUUAAUCGGGACGAAAGAGUUCUGCGUGAAUAAUGCAGAAAAGUGACGGUACCGGAAUAGAAAGCCACGGCUAACUACGUGCCAGCCGCCGCCGUAA